AAAUCCCUGCAUAGUGCGUGUAGGCUGGAAUUUUAGAACCAACAAACAAAAAACGGGAAUCUGCCUUUAAAUGUGGUGUGUAAGCUUAACUAGUAUUAAGAAACCCAGGAGCAUUUAACAAGAUACCCACCUGUGAGAGCAGGUCCUUAAAAUUUCACUCAAACUUACGGCUAAGGCGGGGGCUUU
rnacentral:other from 1 species